UCAGGGGGCCAGGCAGCCGCGUACCGCGAGGUGCGAGGAAAGUCCGGGCUCCACGAAACGAGGGUGGCGGGUAACGCCCGCCGGGUGUCGGUCUUCGGGUCGGCAUUCAGGGAAAGUGCCACAGAGAGUAUACCGCCGAUGGCGCCUAAAGCGCACAGGCAAGGGUGAAAGGGUGCGGCAAGAGCGCACCGGGGCUCCGGCAACGGCGUCCGCAUGGCAAACCCCACCCGGAGCAAGGCCAAAUAGGGGCCUCGUGUCCCGGAUCGAUCCGGGACAGGGGUGUUUCGCCCCGAGAGGCCCGGGUUGGCUGCUAGAGCCGUCCGGCAACGGGCGGCCCAGAUGAAUGGCUGCCACCACGCGGCAGGUUCCCUUGCGGAAUACCGCGCGCGGCACAGAACCCGGCUUAUCGGCCCCCUGAUAUU
rnacentral:RNase_P_RNA from 1 species